CUAUUUAGUCCUUGUCUUCCCGGUCACCUGUGUCUGAGUGUUGUGUUGUCUUUGGUUCUAUGCCAGGAGGUCCUUGUCCUGUUUUGCCAUGCCAUGUUUAGCCAGGAGUUUUUGCCACAGUUUUCAUUUGAUCCCCUGCCACAAAGAAGAAACUGUUACAGAAUGAAAGCAGAAGGCAAGACAGCACAAGCCAGAAAGAAGCUGAUAAGACACAUCAGAGCUACCCUGGAUACUAACCUGCAGGUGCUCGUUGACAGUAUAACAGUGUGGUGACAGGAUCAAAAUGAUCCACACAAAGGCUGUGGAACCUCACUGGAGGCAUCUGAGAGUGCAGACUUAAACAGGAAGAUGUACAGCAAACAGAAGCAAAAACAACGACGGGAUGGGAAUGGGAAGACAGAAAUCAGUUGCCCGAGCAACACAGGAUAACUCAGAGGGAAAGUACUUAAAACAUCCGCAGAGAGCUCAAGGAAGCAAAAGAUAAGGGAGAAAACAAAGGGGAGAGCUGAGGAAACAAGAACAAGAGCAGUCACUGCUCAGGCCAUGCUAUUGUGUAAAUAAAAUGCUACCAGGUUU